AGAAUAUAAAAAAGAAAAGCCGCUAACUAUUCUAAAGUGAAUAAAACUCACUAUAUUCUU
rnacentral:tRNA from 1 species